UCCAGGCAACCCGUAACCCGUGUUUUUCCAACCUUAAACCCGUGAAAGUGCACUGGAACGGCAGUCAAACCCGUGACUUCCCACCCGUGAACUCGUACUAGAUCGAUGUACUCCGAGUUCCGACGUCACACAGGACGCGAAACCUCAAUGACAGCCCCUACGGAUAAUACUGCCUACGGACGCAGUGUUUAUGCAAGUGGUACACGUUGAAAAAUCGAUUUUAUGACAAUGUAACGUUGCGAUAAAAACUGGGAUGAGGAAGAGGUGGCAAGAGCCAACAUGUAUGAUGGCCCGCAGCCCUAUAAUUUUGAACCAGCCAGACGAGAGAGAGCAAAUGAGGAAUUGCCAAGAACUGAUGGCCGUCAAAGCCAGUUAAAUGCAUGGUCCAAGGAGAAUGAGUGGAGAGUUGGUGAAGUGUCCUGACAUACUGUAUGUACAGUGAGACAAAACGAUGACCGCAUCUGCAUCGAAGGCGAAGACUUCAGAGCUGAUAGUUUGUAUCGGCGUCCUUUUUGUGCAAUACAGUACAGAAUACAUCCUGUAUCCAACUAAUGCAGAGUAUAUUCAAGUUGCCAACACACUGGUUGUGAAGAACCCUGUCCAGAGAAAUAUAAAAGGAAAUGACUGUGUAAGUUACAUUGUUUUUAAUCCAUUGGUUUAUCUCUAUCAACAUAAUCACACACAAUAUUGUAGUAACAAUAUAUUGUAAUCUUUAUUUGCUGGAAAAUGACAAUCAGUCAAAUUUGUGUUUUUAGCACACCUGACACAUCCCUAAACCGGAAAUUUAAAGCAGAACGUGCACCACUUGCAGGUUAUUGUAGCAUAUGUAAGCACACUGCCAUAUGCAUAAUUUAUUUUUGCACUGUUAAUCAAUUUUACAUUUUCACUUCAAUGUAAGGAAGAUACUGUACUACAGAUAUUAAAAUCUUUUUUUUGUAUCUACUCCACUUUUUCACUGCCUGACCAUCAUCUUAAUGUUGAUGCAGUUCAAUGUUUUUAUUAUUUUUUUAUAUCUAAAGCACCUUGUUCAAUAAGUAUUUAGAUGUCUCUCAUAUCUGUCACGGUCUAAGCAUGAUCUGUUUCUGUUGUUCUGAUGAAGGAAACUUGUGUUGGGGAGGAUUCAGUGUCUGUUGAGAACCAUGUGAAUGUGCUACAAAGUGAGUAUCAGAAAACACAUCCAGACACCUGGACUGUCAAAGACCACUCGGCACGAACAUUCUCCUGGAGAUGCUGAGAAAGCACAGAAGGAAUGUCUGUGGAGGAUGUACUCAAACACACCCAUACUUAAGGACACCUGCUGGAGGGGACCCUGCUACACCCUUUCCUACCAUACAGCUGAUGGAUACUGACUGGAAAAUGGUAAUCAUAGGAGGAGGGCUCAGUGUGGUGACAGAAGAUGGAAUAGACGUGUGCCAGUGCACCAGCCUUGAUGAAGCCUUCAUAACAGCCUUCUGUAUGUAUUUUGCUUUCAACAUUGCAUAUCCAACACACCUGAGAAAGACACUGACUUUCCUUCAGAGGCACAUUGUCAACAUUGUGGAAGAUGGAGACAAGCACUGCCAGUAACUUUACUCUGAAUGAUUAGUCUUUUGAAUUAGAUCCUCAUCCCUAAACUGUGUCAUUACACAAAGUGCACUCGAAGGACAUUCACUCUUUUGAAGUUAAUCCAACAUGUUGAACCAAAAAUUAGUAUAACCUAUGGUAUAGAUGAGUGCCAGUCACCUUUUUUGUGAUUCCAUUCUUUUAGAAAACAUGCACAGGAAUCAUAUGUACUUUUGUGUUGUAUUAUAAUAAAAUGGAGAAGGGUCUGGCUGCAGACUUGCACUUGCACUCUCAGACACUUGCGCUUCUGCUAGUGACAAGACUUGCAGUCUUUUUUAUUUAAUAUUUAGUUCUACUUAUUGGUUACUUUUUGUUUGAAUCUCUCAACAUUUGUUUUUUUUCUUGUGUAGGUAUCAUUGACUGGAAGUCUGUCAGUCCAGAUGUGAGGAAGACCUACAGAGUGAGUUUGAGCUCAGCAGGUGUGAUGGCUGUGGAUGCAUCUACAAAAACACCACUGGAUACUGUAGCCAUGGAAAGAAGGGGGUCUUCACAGCUUUCUAUUCAGACAAAGAGUUUGCUGAAUUCUGUUCUAUGGACUGCUACUACAGAAUGAAUGAAUGAGUGGUUUAUCUAUCUAUCUAUCUGUCUGUCUAUCUAUCUAUCUAUAUAUAUUUUUUUUUUACUUGAAUUGGCGAAUGAAACUGAAAGCUAAAUAAAUGUUUUAGUGGAUAAAGCUGUGUCUGUUUGCUUAUGUCACUGACUUCUGUCUUCUGACUAAUUUUUAAAUUUUAUAAUUUAGUGGUUUUGUCAACUAUAUAUUUUUCUCUAUCAGGCAAAACAGUUUUCGAG
ensembl:lncRNA